rnacentral:rRNA from 1 species
CAGUAGCCGCGGGAAAACAGAGGGUGCGAGCGUUAAUCGGAUUUACUGGGCGUAAAGCGUGCGUAGGCGGCUUCUUAAGUCGGAUGUGAAAUCCCUGAGCUUAACUUAGGAAUUGCAUUCGAUACUGGGAAGCUAGAGUAUGGGAGAGGAUGGUAGAAUUCCAGGUGUAGCGGUGAAAUGCGUAGAGAUCUGGAGGAAUACCGAUGGCGAAGGCAGCCAUCUGGCCUAAUACUGACGCUGAGGUACGAAAGCAUGGGGAGCAAACAGGAUUAGAGACCCGUGUAGUCCCUGUCUCUUAUAC